CUCCCGGCCCGCCUCCUCCCGUGCGCACGCGCCAGCCCAACGGUGGGGUGCGCGCCCCCUCCUCAGUCACCGGCGCUCACCGGGAAUCGCGGGGAAGCGGGAAGCGCAGCCUCCCCCUGAGGGCAGCACCGGCCCGCGGCCGCGCCUCCUGCCGCCAGCCUCAACCCCUCACGGGGCCCCUGGGCAGCCCCGGCGGCUUCGUCCGUUCCAGUGCUAACCGCUGUCCCGAGGUCCUCGCGGAUGCCCACGAGGGAAGGAGGGGGAGCUGGAGGUGCUGCAGCGCUUCUGUCGAGGCUGCUCUCCCGGUUAGAGGUGGACUCGCUCAUAACAAAAAAAAAAGCACUGCUUCACUGAGAAGUUGACGGGCUUAAAAGCAAUGCAAUACACGGCCUUCCUAUAACCUUUUGCUGCACCGAUCACCGUUAAGAAAUGAUGAGCGUUGAGAGGAAAAACGGGGCCUUGGCUCUCUUUGCAUCACCUCAGGAGUGAAAGCCUUCAGAAAACCACCAGGUUUUGCAAGAGCUGCCAUGAAGUGCAAGCACAGCUGCCAUGGAGACCGGGCCUGGCGUCGCCCGCUUUCCCACUUACACCCCCGCCAGCAAGGCUCCAGCCCAGUGAGUUAUUGCAGUAAUUAAUAGCCAGCACUUCCACGUAGUCAGAACGCUUUACAAACAACACCUAACCUCACUGAAUCACAAAUGGCCGUGUUGUCAUCCUGUCGUGGGAUCAGUACCGUUACUGCUUCCUUCAAUAUCCCUGCUGGCAUAGUGGGCAACCCAGAGCUGCCACCAGAUAGCACCUGGUAGAGAGCACAUGCACCAGGGUACUAAGCAUAUCUGAGCAGUCCAGAUGAAAUGAAGACUGCCUACAAGGAGAACAGUCUCUCCUCCUGUGUGCUGGUCUUGUACCAGGAUAAAUAACAGGAAAACAAAGCGCCAAAUGCCAGCCUUCCACAGGUUGGUCUACCGGUGAGUGGAAAGAAUGUGAAUGGAAAGAAUGCUUCACCAGCUUUGGAACUGCUAGAUUUGGAACCUCAAUGACGUUCAACACAGAAAUAAAGGAAGAUUCGAGAAAGAUAAGAAUGUAUUUUUUAACAAAGAAAGCAUAGACAACUCAGAAACGGCAAGCAAAGGUCAAUUUUCAGUAAGUGAUUCUUCUCUAAAACAGGAGAUAGACUAACUUGUCUGAUAGAAUAAGCCUCCCAGUACUCUGUACCCAAGUGGCAGAUACAGGGGGCUGGCAACACAAAUUUUGAAAGACACCAUUCAGAUCUUCAUCAAAUCCUUCAAAGAAACUUCAUAGCGGGUUGUGAGGAAAGAAGAACAACAAAGCAUGGGCCAAAAACUAAAAGAGAUGAAACAGGAGAACAAAUGGUCAUUUAAAAUGACGGUGAAAAGCCAGAACAGUGGAGUGUAUGUAAGAUCUUGUGACAGAACAUGUGUUGUAACCACCCUUACAAACAGUCUAGAAAAGGGCUGUACAGAAGAAAAAAACACUUGUAGAGGACACGAGAGCGUGGGAUGGAUGGAGGAGAUAUUCAGGGUGACCCAACAGUGCAGAACAUGAAGCAAUAUGACAAACUCAAGCAUGAAAUAUAAAACGGCUGAAGCAUAUCAGAGCAUGGGAAAAUAACUCCUGAUGAAGUUCUGGAUUGCAUUGUUACAGGUAGAAAAAGAAAUUCAUAGCCCAUCACCUUCCAACGAUGACCAAACCCACAGUUCAUAUUUCUCUUAAGUUCCACCAGGUUGAUUAAGCCCUGGAUAAAACAGGUAUCAAGCUGCCAAACACGUUACUAUUAGGCCACAACAAACAAGCAAGAAAGAAAAGCAGGCUGUUACCAAAGACAGCAGUAAAGCUGAGGAGCAGAAAUGCUUUUGAGAUAUUUUCAUGAAACAUUAACCUUCAAACAUAAUUACUGAAAUUGCACUUGAAGGCUACACUGCUGGGGAGCAUUGCGGUAAAACUGGCCUGCAGGGCAAGAACGUGGCAGGUAAACAAAAGUAGUAUCUGUGCAGAGAUAAUGGGACACAGGUCAAAGCAUUAAAAGUGUAGCUUUAGGGGAUGGAGGUGCUGUUACCGACAGGAGAUUUUCCCACUUUCUACAUACCAGCAGAGGUGAUGGUGACUUGUCUGACAUUGCAUGAACAGUAAUCUUUGAAGACAGCCAAUACUGUAUCAUAAGCUGAGCAUAAAACUGAUACAGUCCCCACGAAGAUUGUAAUUUUGAAACCAUUUUAUUAUUUGAAAAAAGUUAUGAAGCUACAUUUACACUGGGAAGUUGAACAUUUACAUUUUGCCUUGGGUAAAAGGAACAAACGUCUCAGCCUUUCCAAGAUUUCUGCCCUAUUUUGCAGAUUCGUGAAUUAAGAGCAAACAAAAGGUAAUCAUUCAAAAUCUUCCGUGGUUAUAGGCUCUCUAUAUCUUGCCUGAAUUAUCUGUAGAAUACAGAGGCUGAGACUGUGCACGGUAAAAAUGUGGCAAGGGAAAAAGACAGGACAAUGGCUGUUGUUUCCAGAUCACUGCAUUACUCAGUGUGAUACCCAUCACAAUCAGAGCACCACUUCUGGAAAUAAACCUUGGACCAGGCCACAGCUUCUAUCACAGAAAGACAUUAGGUUGUAGCUGGGAUGACUGGGAAUACAGAUGCAGCACAGAGCCAAUGAAGGAGUCAGGAAAUACUGACUUGCUGUGCAGCACUGGGCAGGUCAUGUUGCCUUCUUGACUCAGUUUCUCCCACUAUAAAACAGAAACAAUGAAGCUUGUUAAAGCUCCUUCCAGCUUACCAGUGAAUACUUCUCUCUGGAAAUGGGAAGACUACAUAAACAGACAGAAAUGCUUUUAUUGUUUUAGAGAGAACAUUAUAGCUUUCUCUUUCUAUUGAAUUAAAUGCAACUGGGACUUCAGCUCAUUAUGGCUGAAGCUCUGUGCCAGACUGCAAGGACCCUUUGGAUUUGUCCACAUCAUCUCAGAAAUCUUCAUGCUCUGAUGACUAUAAUGAUUUUGUGCCUUAUAGCCACUAAUGCUUCAGUCAGAGCUCAGCUCCAGGGAUUUGAUAGCACUAUUGUCACUUGCAUUCACCUCUGCAAGGGGCUCUUCUGACCCCAGAGAUGUGCACAUCAGGAAAGAGGCUGGUAGGAAAGGCUGGGAAUCAGGAAAGCGCACAUCUUACCUAAUUUCUCACCAUUGCAGUUUGCAGAAUGCAUUAAUGAGCAAGUUUUGCUACUACUGAUUUUCUGUUCCUGGCAAAGUGGGUGCAUCAGGAGAGAGACAGUGAAUAAAGCGAAGUCCUACGUGGAAGGCAUUAUGUUGUAGCUCAGCAUGAUGGUAAGCCCCGACAAAGCCUCUGCUGGGAACAUACUUUUGAAAUCUCCAGAUGCAGAUAAACUUAAUUCAGGAUUUAAUUAGGAUUGUUUCUGACACGCUUACCCAGUACACACUUUGGAUUGAGCUGCAGAAGCCAAUCUUCACAGGACGGUGCACUGUAACUCACUGAAAUAAGCUGAUGACCAUCCCCAAGACAAUUAGCACCCUCCAAGAUAUUGCCCAAGUUGGCACAAAAACAAUCUCUUUUCAAGCCUUGUUUCCAGUGAGCAAACAACUCAGCCCACGUGACAACACAGCUCCCAUUCUUCUUAGCAUUUCUAUUCAUUUUAAUCAUGUGGGAGAAGCUACAUUACCUGAUAGGGUUUACAGGUUACUUCCAUCCCUGCAAAGGAGAUGCAAAUUGCUCAGUGUUCCCAUGGCUCCAGAAAGGUUUGCAUGGUUGCAAACAGAACAACACUGAUUGCUAAGCCCACUGUUUGUCUAGCUGAUAGGCCAAGGCAGAUUCCAUCAAGCAUUUCUAUGCAGUGAAUUACAACACGCAAGCCCAAUUAGAUUCUUCCUUCCAUAUUUACUUUUAAUGGUUUCCUUCCUUUUCCCCACUUGAACCAUUGUUCUUUUCAUCCCAGACUUUAAAGUAACUCAGUUAACUUUGCAAGAUAUUCCGGGCCUCGUGUGUUUGAAGAUGGCUCCCAAAUUAGCACGUAUGCUGUUUGUACUGAGGUCAAAAGAAACAUCAAACAAGACUGCAGAACUGCAGAUCACGUUUCAGCACAAUCAACUACUUCCCUUUUCAGACAGACUCUUACCUUGCAAUCUGGGAGAAUCUUCUGAUCUCUGUUUUAGCAAUAGCAUUCCAGGUUAUCCCAUAUUUGUCCAAAGCUCUGCUAGAUAGAUCUACUGCAUCUCCCUUACAUGGAAAGACCCCAACUUCCUAACAAGAGAUGUAGCCACCCCCUGUCCACAGAAACAGUUUUUACUGAGAGUCUCAAUGUUUGAUCCUUAACUUGUUUGUUGGGCUGGAAAUGUGCCACAGGAAAUGAGGAUACGUGUAAAAGAACACAAUAAACCUUCAGAAAUACUGUGCCUGGAGGCUACAGACUUGAGCAUUACCAUCUAUUCUACCCCUCAAGUCUUGAAAACUUUUUUCCUGAGUUCCAAAGGCCCACUACAAGGAGGUAGGCUGCACUCCUGGAGCAAAUUCUGUUACACUUGUUGGUCAGCUGUCCAGCCCCACAAGCGUGCCUAUGCCACAGAGCAGCUAUUUCAUCCAUUUUCCAGUUUUCAGUGCUGCUCAGAAUCACUCCUUGCUGAUAUGAAGCAGAGAUUAAAGACUCCUGAUGCUUUCCUUGCUGCCUGUAGCAGCGCAGUGUUUUAUUGCACCUCGAUUCUGUCUGAACUUCAGGACUGGGAAUGUGAUCUUCUGUGGCUAUCACUUUCCUUCAUCUCCAAAGAGCAAGAAAAUUUUUCUUCUUCGUAAGAUACCUCCUCUGGCUUUUUCUUACGCUUUAUUCCUCUUUUUGAGAAGAUCCAGUAACAAGUUUUUGUAUUUGUUCAUUUUGAAAUGUAUCACUUAGAAUCUACAUUCCUUUGCAUCUUUUGCCUAGCAGUUCACCAUCUUCCAUUUCCCUUAUUUGUAGGAUAUCUCCUCAAACAUCAUUAGAGAGCUUGGGAGUAGAUUUCAAGCUGGAGGAAAGGAGGCCAGUUUGGGUAUCAGGUAUGUGUUGAUUCCCAGAGCCUGAGUCUUGCCCAAAUUCAGAACAAAUGAAAAACACAACAUUAUAUGGCAGCUGUAUGACAGCCUAACAGCUUAUCCUUCCCCACAGCUCCUACUAGAUGGACUUUUCAACUAAAGCCUUCUGCUGCCAUGGGCUUACUUUGCUCUCCAUGCGAGCAAGGACUGAAAAUCCCAGCAUGGUUUGUCCAACUUAGGACUCAUCCAUGUCGAAAUGAGGAAAGCCAGUUACUGUUGCUGUGCAUGCACUCUUCAUUUUAAGCUAUUUAUUUACAACAUCUGUAUAGCUAUUAAUCACUAGCUAUUUUUCCUAAUAAAUAUCAAUUCUAUGAGAUAAAAGAUUUCUAGACUAGCUGAGUGAGAGGAUUGCUACUCAGUAAGUCAGCAUCUGCUUUGUCUGCUUUCUGUGUUCCCAGCACUUCAGUGAGACAUAAAUUAGUGGACAACUUGUGUGGGAAGUCUAUGUGGACUGUGUCACAGUGACAUAUCUUGAUACUGUCAAAGAGAGGAUGGGAGUAAAUUAGCAGAAAUGGCCUGAGGCUUUCAGGAAAGAUGAGCAUUACUGACAGCAAUUCCUAGCAUACUGCACUGCAAAUGUUUUCCCUGAACCAGCUUGCUGAUAACACUUGUACUCCUGUAGCUUCUGCACAAGUGUAUUUACCCAAGAUACUCAACAUACCUGUUUUUCAUGCUGAUAAGGGAGCAGUGGUUAAAGAAACACUUGUAGCAACGGGCAUGUUCCUGUCAUGAGUAGGAUUCAUUUAUCAAAUUCAUUCAAAACUCAUUCUAAGAGGAGCCCUUUGGAUAGAUGUGGCUCUUCUAAGCCAAAAAAAUAAAAUAAAAAAAAAAGCAGUUGGAACCUGGAAAAAUCAGAGAAGAACAGCCACAAAGCCUGGUACCAGUACAGCGUGUACUCAGUCAGUCAUUAUUUAAGUAUUUAGAGACCAAAACUAAAAGAAACACUGUGGAAGCUGUGUGCAGAGUCUUAGUGAUGAUAAUGCCAACCCUCCCAAGGAGGAACCACAGCUAGGCUGAAAUCAUAGCUCCAAGAUUUUCUCCCUCCAGAUGCUGGAGUGACCUUUCCCUUGAGAAGGGCAGCCAGCUUGCCAUGAACUGCACCGGAGCCAGCUGUAAGUAGGGCAGAUGUAACACCGUUGGACUCCUCCACGUUCACAAUCAGCUGAUGUGAGACCUCCAAGCUGCCAUUUGGAUGAGUCCACCAGAGCUGCCCUCACCACCAAGCACAUCCUGCCUGUGACCACAGUCAUCUGCAACCAUCUUACUGGAUGGUAUGAAAUCCUCAUUGUCAAUAUAAAAUCUCAAACUAUUUCAUUGCACCCCGCUUUGUGUUGGUGGGGUCAGAACCCAAAGUACUGAUCUGCUGACAGCCUGAUAAUCCCACAGCCAGCCCUACCACCUUUAUGCCAAAUUAGGAAUCACAUAAUUGAAGCAAAAGCCAUUUUAAUUGUUUAGGAUAAGAAAAAGGCUAAAAAAGGAAAAAAAAACCAAAAAACCCCAAAGCAGAAGGGCAUGUAUGAGAGAAUGACAUAAAUCCCACAGGCUUGUCCCAGUUAGAGAGAAUAAAUCGGUAUCAGCAUAGUAACACAGUGGCUCCUCUGGGUGCAGUCUCAUUUCUAUUCUUGCCUUUGAAAAUCCUGUUUGUUACCCACAAGCAAAGCCAUGCCUGGAGCUGGGACUGCCACCCAGCUUCUUCUAGGAAUGACUGUAAUUUACAUUCAGGCUCUCAGCAAUUAGUGGCUAAUGAGAUAACUUCAGUAGCUUCUAACUUCACUUGAAAAACCAACGCCAACAUUAUAACCUUAAAUGGCUUUUAACCCAGGAUUUCUCAUCUCUGGGAUAACUGAUGCUCUCUCCUCACGCUGAUACAUCUUAGCAGCAAACACGGGAGCUCUGCUAACACUCAGCUUGUGUCACUAACCAGAACAGGAAAUGCUUUGCAUACAGGUGGGAGCAUUAAUGUUUGUGAUAUUAUGCUAACUCCCUAGGGGACAGUCAUUAUGGCAAAAAAAAAAAAACACAAUCUAGCCCUUCAGGAAAAUUUCCUGGCAGCUGUUAGACCACCAACGCAUUGGCAGAAGCCUCAUAAAAACACGUCAGCAGUGAUUGAACAGAGCAUUCCUGUGCACGCAAUAGUGAAUGGCGAAAGGGACGCCGCACACUGCCUCCUCAGCCCUUCUAUCUCCCCAUUUUAGGAAGGCAGCUUACUCCAGCAUCACAGUUGUCAAGUCAGCAGUUGGGGCAGAUGGACUUUCCUUUUUCAGCUCCGUAUUUUGCCAAAGCCACGAUCCGGAAUCUGCCCACAGGGAAUGGAUUUCUUUCAAGAAAAGAAAAAAGCCCACAAAAAGCCAACCGUGCUAUUGAGGGAGUAGCAAUUUCUCUGCCCUUCAAUCAACCCCGAAAGAGAUGCUGCAUGCUUUAUCAGAUUUCCUAGCUUUAUUGGUUGCUGUCGCAAUGACUUUCUAAACACAGUCCUGUAAAGCACAGAUCUUGGCAUAGCAGGGAACUACCAUUCACAGUUUCCCAGUGAUGGAGAAAAAUCUGAAAGACAGCGCUUCACUUAACCCCAGUUAUGAGAGUUGCGAUCGGAUCUGAGUUCUACCACAAUUCGUGAGCCUAAGAAACACCCAGCAACAUAAAACAGCCAUUUGUGGUGGUUUCUGGUGCUAGCAGGAAAAAGGAUACCAGUUCUCCUCUUUCACUGCCUUCCCUUCAGGGGAGUCCUGAAAAGAGUCCUUUGAAAGAGCUAAAGGAACCGGCACACGCUGAGAUUUUACUGGAGAGCAAAGCUUUGAACACUGAACAGGGACUGUUCAACCACACGUGAGACAAAGGGAAAAAGGCAUGCCUGUUUGUAGGCACGAGUUUAUGUGCACUGUGGGGCCAAAGGGGAUGGCGCAGGUGCCCCCAGGUAUCCCAGUGAAGUUGGAAGCAUAAGUUAAUUCCCUGACAAAUGAGAACUGAAAUCCACCCAUCACCUUUAAAAAGCCUUUACAAAGCAGCUUUUUUACUGGACGUUCCUGGCUAGUGUCACCUGUAAGGACAAUUCCUCCUUACGGAGACAAUGCUGGCUCUGCAAAUUGACUUUAUGCACAGAAAUCUGCUGCUGCAUGUGCACGGGGUGUCACAGCCCAGCCAGCUGCUGGGCAGGGGAGCAGUGCCCGCGGCUCCAGCUGGAAGGCUCACCCUCUAAGAAAGAGAGAAAACAGCAGCCAGCAAAUGUCCCCUCCUUCCCCUAGCACUGCGUUCCAGAUCAGGAGAUGUCACGAGCUGUGUAACUCUCAGUAAUUGUUUGAUUACAUCCAUUAGUGUUAUCUGUUUGUAAAUACAGUGGGUCCGUAAUUCCAAAAAUUGAUUUUAUCCCAUGUGAUUCUAAAGACUGGGAGAAUAUAAAAGAGUAGUGGGUUUAGGGAGGCAAAACAUCCCUCCCAUCAACAUAACAGCUGCUCCUACAGUAACAAUGCACGAACUGCUUUCAGGUAGGGUCCAGGAUGAAUAAAUGCAGCUACCACUUCGCUGUAGCUCUUCCUCCUUCACUGCAUGCAGGAUUUCCUCCUUGCCAAGCAAAUAAGAACUGCUCUCAACAUCUGUACCCUGCUGCAAGCAGAAGCCUGGAGAGGCUCUGUACAGCUCAUGUUUCAUUCCGCAUUAGCUUCUGCCAUCAUCUGUCAUUCUUCACUGACAGUGCCAACACCAGGCAUUUGUCCCUCAAGGUCCCUUUCUCUCCAUUAUUAAGGUGACUGCCCUUAGGGUCAUACAACAAAGCCAGAAGAAGCUUAGAGGUGUGGAGAACCUCUAUCCUGAGGGCCCUGCUCCUGCCAGCUACACUGGAGCCUGCUGUAUGGAUAGUAAUUUCUCUCCUUCAACCAAAGCUGCUCUGCUGUUGAGCUGGGCUGACUCAGCAUACUGGAAAGUGGGUUCAGGUCCACAGAACUCACAUUUCCAGUUGUAUCAGCAGAUUACAUGUUCCCAUGGAGCUCAGUACAGACAAGGUAUUCAUACUUCUGCAAGAAGAACUGAGGGGAGCCAGGCUUCAUGUCUACGAGCAAGCUAUUUGAUCCACCUCUAAGAGCAAAAAGCAGGAAUUUAAUACACCUUCUGGAGACAUUGAGGACAUUUAAUCUGUGGGACUAGGAGAAAGGUGAAGGACAGCAAUGCGAGAUGGCUUGUAGUAAGAGCAAGGACUCUCUUCUCAUGAGACUAAUUAUCUCAGUGUAAGCAAAUUGGUAUUCCACCUGCUAAUGGAUUUGAACAGCAGCUGCUGCUUACUUAAAGCAGCAGCACACAUUCUUGCACAUAGGAAAUCAUCAUCAAAGGUUUCACACUCGCAUCCUUCAGGCAGGAGGAGGCUUAGGGGGGAGCUUCUCCAAAAGAAUCUCCCAACUGGAGCAGGUGAACUACAGGAAUGCUGCAGAACCCCACACACGUUGUCCAGAACAUCUAGAAAUGAGUGAAGAAUUUGCACAAUUAAAGGAGUUUUGCACAGGGGAAGUACAGAGUACAUCCAAGGCAAAGCAGAAUCUAACUCACACAGAAGGAUGUAACGCUUCUCUCAGCUGCUUUGGGACAGACACAGAAAAGCCUGGGCUUCCUAUAGCUUUGACUGUGUUCUCCUACUGCCAUCCCAACUCUUUGCACAGUGCUCCUGCUCUCCUUCAGCGUCCUCCCCCUGCUUCACCCCGCACACCCUCAUGCUGCCUCUUCCCUCCUCCUAGUCCCGCACCUUUCCCUGCUCAUCCCUCUCCCAGUUAGAUUUUCAGCUCCCCCAUCCCAAAACCACGACAGUAAGCACAGUACUGAAUGACAGCCCCACAUCAGGUCUGCAUCCCAUCUUACCCCUUGUCUCACCAGCCUCUGUUUGCCUGUCCACUUCUUGGCAGCUGGGCCUGCCUUCCCCUGUGGGCACUGCUUGGAACUGCCACGGGAAAGCAGGAAACUCCUGGGUGAGCACUGACAACACAGACAGGACACGGGUGUGGGAAUUUACAGAUGCAUCUCUUUCAGUGAUGUUGUUUGUGCUGCCCUGGUGCCCAGAAGCAUCGGGCACCCUCCGCUGGGGUUCUGUACCGACAUGCAGGAGACAACCCUUGGCAUGAAAAACAGCCUAAGCAAGAACAAGGCAGAACACGCAGGGAACUCGAACGGAACAAAGCGCAGGGCCAGGGCGGAGGUAGACAGGAGCAGAUAGAAGUUGGCUGUGUGCAUUUUGCAGGCUGCAGAGCUAUGGGAAAACAGAACAGCAUGUAAAAAAAAAAAACCAUUAAAAAAUAUUAGCAAUAAUAGAUUUGCAGAUUUUACAUUCAAUGAUGGUCUUUUUUUCCCUCUUACUGUAACAAAACCUCACAUACAAAUGAAAGGAUAAAUCCAGCACCCGACGUGAACCUGUGACUAAACAUUCCCCUGUGUGUCUGCAGCUUUGGGCUGGCACACGACAACCUGGAAAACAGGAACUGAGCAAGAAAAGAAAUUGGGCUGAUCACAUUCACAUUGCCAGCAGGAGGGGCAGGAACACGUUAAUUAAUCCCAGGUAACUCUUUCCACUGCCUCCCAUUGCACACGAAAACCCCGUGCCCCAGAGAAGCAGAGCGAUUCUCCACGUCUCCACAGCCCGUCGCUCUCUCCCUCCACAGCAGCAGCUGCCUCCUGGCAGUGGGUGGCACACAAAGAGCACAACUUGAAAGCAGCACAUGUCUACCGAGUCCAAACUGUUUAAAGUUAAAGUUUAUUUGUAUUCUUUGUAGGAAUAUCAAUAAAAGACCUCAAAUGUAUCUAUAUCUGUACAUAUUACAAGAACCUUCAAAAAUUAUUCACAGAACAAAAAUAAAUCUUCUUUAGAACAAACCCAGGCAAUGAAAUGCAGAAAUGGAUCUCAGAGACCAAACAGUCCAGUGCUACUAGCAUAAAAAUACGGCUUGAAAAAACAAGUUUAUUACUUCUUAAGGUGUACUUCGUCAAAAUAAAAAAUAAAUUAUUUAGAGCUAUCGUUGCAAAACAGUUCUGUGUAACAACACUCUUAUUAAGGCCCUUGAGACAGAAAAUCUAUUUUUACAGGUAGGAUUCCUGGCAGCCAUGACCUGCAAUGACAAGCUCUCUCUCCUGGGAGCCAGCUGACUGUAGAGAAGGAGACACCUAAGAGCAUCAGCCCAAAUUUAACCCUUUUGCUCGGUCAUGCUCAGCUGGAUACCUGUGGCUGACCACACGAAUGCAAGAUUUUAUUAUUAUUUACAUGUAAUGAUUCGACUCGGACAG